rnacentral:rRNA from 1 species
UACGUAGGGUGCGAGCGUUGUCCGGAAUCAUUGGGCGUAAAGCGCGUGUAGGCGGCCCGGUAAGUCCGCUGUGAAAGUCGGGGGCUCAACCCUCGGAUGCCGGUGGAUACUGUCGGGCUCGAGUACGGAAGAGGCGAGUGGAAUUCCUGGUGUAGCGGUGAAAUGCGCAGAUAUCAGGAGGAACACCAAUGGCGAAGGCAGAUCUCUGGGCCGUAACUGACGCUGAGGAGCGAAAGCAUGGGGAGCGAACAGG